AGCUGUGCGUUUGAGAAACGACCGGAAACGACUUAUAUGUCGCGAGGCCAUCACGUGACCACAAUAUUUACCAGAAGACCGUUAUUUGCUCGAGUACCCUCAACUUUUUUGUCGCAAAUAACAUUAUUAAUAACCUGUAAAUAAUAAAUUUUGUACACAUUACGUUCCUCUUCACUUUGUAAUAGUAUGUUUUUUGGUUUAAUAGUCGGCUUUAAGUUAGUUUUCCUGUCAGUUUGAUCGUCAAAAUCUUGAAAGUUAUCUGCAGCCACACAUCCACUGUAUACCAAGUUAUGAUGAACAAUUAUGAAAAUGCAAAAGGAUUGAUAGAUCAGUAAACAAGCAACAAAAAGCUUUACAAAAAAUGUAGAAUUUGUAGGAGCGCAUGGACAUCUGAGUAACAAAGUCAUAUUAUGCAGAUGGGUGCUCAUGGUGGCCUCCAAAUAAAUACAUGGACAGGCUGCUAAAGAGGGUCAGGAUGAUGGAGAUGCAAGAGCCAAAGACAGCACAGACCAAACACCAGGCCAGAAUUCUGCAUGAGUCAGAUUGAGUAAUUUUCACUCUAGAGACCCUUGGGUGACCACCAAGGACGAAUGCAAACUCCAGUGAGUGUCUCUAAGGUAGAUCCUAAUGCAGAUGGAUGGAAUGUUGAUCCGCCUAACAUGCAAGCUACAGAGGGCAUCCUUUAUUCAGUCCCUAAUGCAGAUGGUUGGAGUGUUGAUCUACCUAACAUGAGGGGUAAAAGAGUGUUUGUUAGCAUAAUGAGAAAGAAAACAGAAACACAUUAUUAGUGGCAUUUAAAAACAUAACACUUGUUUAUACUACAUUUUAUGUUCAAUCCAUAGAGCACUCGUUUUGAGUCCUGAGACCCUGGGGUGACCACCGUGAACAAAUACAGAAGCACUCAAUUUGAGUCCUGAGACCCUGGGGUGACCACCGUGAACAAAUACAGACUGCAAUAGCAGUCUUGACGGUACUAGGAUGAAUGCAAAUAAAGACUAACCACCUGACAUCAGCUGUCCAGUCUCUUGUGGGAAGCAGGUGCUUGUUACCCCAAAUACGGAUGAAGAGUGACGAAGAGGAUGAUGACUUU